UUGCAACAGUUAAAGGGGCAAGAAAUACGUCUUCGAUUAAGAUGAGUAAAUCCCCCCUUUUAGUGGGUGAACGAGCCCCGCCCUCCACUUGUUCCUGUUAUGUUACUUUCGUUUCCCCUGAGUCUUUGGAGUUUCUCGUCUUGAGCGGUCGCCGUGAGAAUAUUCUGAUUACUUGUUUACAAAAUAGCAUGGAAUUAAUAUGUGGACCCUCCCGUGCCUGCCGCUUCUCCCCCGCAGCCAUCCACCCGCGGUCUUCUCAGCCACGCAGCCCCCGCAGCUCUUAUAGACAGGAGGAUUUCAGGGCAGAAUUAGCGGACAGGGAAGAGUUUGCAAAGGCGCCAUAUAAAUGUACCGAGAUUCAAUAUUUGAAGUUCAUUGUUCAAAGAGGAGGGUGGAUGGGUUGGUUUUUGCUUUACGUUGACUUCCAAUUAAUGCAGCUCAAGAAGGAAGAAGCUUCCUCUUAAGGCCUGUACAAAUCCUAACUAGUGGGAUUAAUUCUGACCCUUUGAUCAGAGUUUUCAAAACCUGGAGUGUUAACUAGAUGUAGGACUUUACUGAAUCGCUUCACUUUUUUCUGAGGUUGUUUCAUUAGGAAACCCAGGCUGAGGGUCCAAUUGUGUUCUGACAAGAAACCUCACCUCAUAUGUGAAGCAAAGGUGGGAUACAGAUCUUGCUCUUGUGUCCUUCACAGUAACCUAUGUCCAAAUUGGUAUGACCUUCCUGGAAAAUGGCAAUCAAUAUGACCCUCCAUGCCUGAUGCCUUUAGAUCCAUCUCCCAGUAACAAGACAGGAGGGCAGAUACAAUAAAAUCUUGUCCAAAUGGAAAUGUCAUUUAGCUGGGGGAUCUGAGGUGGUGCUAAGAUCAGAAAAAGACGUUUUGCAUUGAAAAACGUUAUGUUCUGAUUAACUUUUCCUCAUCUGAUGUCCAUGGAGAUUCAAAAUCAACCAGGACAUGGUUGUCCCAAAGAUGCUUUUCAAAAGGCAACUGGACUUUCUUGGUUUUUUCCCUGAAAACUUCUCAAGCAAGAAACCUAUUUGGUUCUGGCAGAAAGAUGGAGAAAGGACAGAUUUCUAUCCCUGAGAAAGUUGUAUAUUUUUUUUACUAUCCUGCUCCCUGAAGCCUUCUGGAAAUCUUCUUCAGUUUUACUGCAGGCAAAUAUUAUUUCAUAAAGUGACAUUAAGGAGAAGGCCCAGAAUUUGCCUCCUUGAUGUUAAGACAUUAACUUUUCUUAACUUGUUUGUUUUCAGGUAUCUUAGCUGUGGCAUCACUUCCAGCAAGAAUGGCCACUGGAACCGCAGUUCUCAUCACCUCUAAUGGAGCAAACAUAAUCCAAACGGCUCCUGGAUUGUCCAGUGUUGCUCUUCAGACAUCUGGAGCAACUCCAUAUCCCCAUUAUGGAGCUCAGCAAAUUCCCACCAGUGCUCCUCAACAAGUCCCACAAAAUGGUCCUUUGGAAAUAUUCCUCAAGGCUGAAACCAGGCCUUGGGUCAACACCUGCACUGGCAGCUUAGAAGCCCCAACACCUUUGAAGGACCUUUCAAAGAUGGAUAUAAAGUGAUGCCUUUCCUGGGGUGCUAACAAAUAAGAAUGUUUUUUUCUCAGAAUCAGCGAACAAAGUUGUCUUACUGUGUGUUUUCCUUCUGCAGGCUGUCCAAAUAUUGAUUGGGCUGAUCCACAUCCUCUAUGGGGCUGUCUCCCUUUCUUCAAUUUCUUCUCCUGACUCCCCCCGCAGCUUGUGUACAGUUGGAGGUUACCCCUUUUGGGGAGGGAUAUUUUUUAUUUCUUCUGGAUCACUUUGUGUAUCAGCUGCGAACAGUCCAAAUCAUGUUUUGGUGAAUUUUAGUGUAGCAAUGAACAUCACAAGUGCUAUAAUGUCAUUAAUUGAUAGCAUCCUAUCAACCUAUCUAACCUAUCCGAGCUGAUAAUCUACAGUUAUAGUUUUGAAAGUGAC